UAAGAGGUCCCGCCUGCCCUGUGACUAUAUGUUUAACGGCCGCGGUAUUUUAACCGUGCGAAGGUAGCGUAAUCACUUGUCUUUUAAAUGAAGACCUGUAUGAAUGGCAUCACGAGGGCUUAACUGUCUCCCCCCUCCAGUCAAUGAAAUUGACCUCCCCGUGCAGAGGCGGGGAUUAAAACAUAAGACGAGAAGACCCUGUGGAGCUUAAGACCUAAUAUAAUUUAUGUAUAAUACACUAAAAUAACAGCUAAAACUCAAUAGUAAUUAUAGAGGUGUCUUUGGUUGGGGCGACCGCGGGGUACAACAAAACCCCCGCGUGGAUUGGGAGAACUUCUCCUAGCACCCAGAGCCGCUACUCCAAGUAACAGAAUUUCUGACUUUUAUGAUCCGGUACAACCGAUCAACGAACCGAGUUACCCCAGGGAUAACAGCGCAAUCCCCUCUCAGAGCCCAUAUCGACGAGGGGGUUUACGACCUCGAUGUUGGAUCAGGACAUCCUAAUGGUGCAGCCGCUAUUAAGGGUUCGUUUGUUCAACG
rnacentral:rRNA from 1 species